rnacentral:lncRNA from 1 species
ACCACCACUACCAAAAAGCUUCCUAUAACAAAGAUUACACAAAUAAAUGCAAAUGUAGAGAGAGUGAGAGACAUUGUCAUACUAAUAUUAUUCAAAAUAAAGAAAGACGAUGGUAUUUGAAAACAGACUCGUGUUUCUAGACACUUUCGUUCUUGGUCUGUAUAUUUUAUCAAACUUAAAAAUACGUGAAAUGAUUUUCACAAAAAAAAAAAUACAAAAAAUGAUUUUCAUACCCAAAAAAAAAAAAGGAAAAAAGAAAGUGAGAAAUGGUAACCUUUGGCGUGCAAUGAAAGUUUGCUUUUCGUGUUGGGCGAUUCUGAGACGAAGAUGAGGAUGAGAGGAGGAGAGGAAGAUGACAAGAUUCAGAGACACCGCUUUGGGAGGGAAAACUGAGAGGUGAGUGAAAUAUUUUCUUGAGUUGGGAAAAAGUAAAAUUUUAGGUCAGGUAAGGCAAAAGUUAAUAUAGAAAUGCAGCGUUUCAUAAGACGACACAUUUUAUAAAAAUUGCCCUAGUAUGGAGGUUCAUACGACGAGAUACAUGUAGAAACCACCGUGGUUGAUUAUAAUAUCACACGACUUUGAGUACUCCGAAAUCGACGUAGUUAGGUACAAUUUUACACGAUAUAAAUGUAUUUCUAAGGCCAUGGUAUAUUAAAUUAAUAUGAUGUUUAUUAUGAAAUUAGCGACGUGGAUUCCUAUAAUAUUAUACAGCGCUAUUAAUGACGAGACCGCCGUGGUUAGGUACAAAAACUCCUAUGCUAUAUUCUACAAUAACAACGUUGUAAACCAACAUUUUCAACAACCGUUUAUUUAUGGAAAACAUCGUGGUAUAUUAAGACGUCAAUGCCCUUAUACGAUGAUAGUUAUAUUCAUAGCGCCGUUGUACAGCUUUAUUACGACACUAUUUAUAUAUAGCGUCGUCUUAUUCCACUUCAAAUAGGAUAACACCUUAGACGACAGUACUUAUAUGGGAUACAGCGUUGUAAAUACGUUUGACGACGCAAGCAAAAAGGCACUGAUGUCUUACAAAACAAAAUGAUUAGGUGGGUUUUGCUUUUCCUGGGAUUCAAACGCAUGUGAUCAAGGACGUAAUUGACCCAAAAAAGAACAGGAAACCGGCAUCCUUUCAAUAUACCCUAAACCCUAAACCCUAAAUUCUUCAUUUUACAAAAAUUGUUUAAAAAAUACACAAGUAUGAGAAAAAUAAAAUGAAAAAUGCAACGGACUCCUUAAGACAAUGCCUUCGAUAUUAGAGGGCUAAAAAUUAGGAUUUCAUAUAAUUGAAUUUAUUUCCACCAAUGGAUCACACAAACCUUAGGGUUAUGUUAGGAAACUAUAAGUACUAUUGUGCUUUGUCUAGAAACAGUUUUGAGUUUUAGUUGUCAUUUUAAAUUUUUAUAACUAAAAUUAAAAUUUUCAAAGCUCGGGGGGGGGGGGGGGGGGGGAAGAAAAAACCAUCCACCAGUGUUUACCCGUUUUGAAGAAAAAUUUGAAUUUUUUUAAAUANNNNNNNNNNNNNNNNNNNNNNNNNNNNNNNNNNNNNNNNNNNNNNNNNNNNNNNNNNNNNNNNNNNNNNNNNNNNNNNNNNNNNNNNNNNNNNNNNNNNUUACUCUUGCAUUUUCGACGCAUGUGCAAUAGCAAAUUCAGAGAGCGAGAUGGAUAUAACUACAUUAAAACAUAUUGGUAUUAAGUGGAAUACGAUGUUGUAGGUUUGUACAACGGCGUCUUUUAUCUAUAUCUCACCGUUGUAGUCCCCUACGACGCCAACAGGUGGUAUAGACUGACAUUGUUCAAAAUGACCACAUCAUUGUAUAUGUAAUUCCCGCCGUCAUAGUCCCUUAAGACAGCUUGUAGUUGUCAAAAGCGACGUUUUGCGUGAUGACAUCGUUGAUUAUGUAAUUAUCGUCGUCGUAGUCAAUUAAAACGUCGAUAGAUUGGUAAAGAUCGAUAUCGUUUGGAGUCACGACGAUGUCAGUUAUCUAUUUACUGUCGUUGUAGUCCGUUAAGGCGUUUGUAUGUAUCUACUACCAUCGUCGUUUGGGAAUUAAUAUGGAUUAUUGCUUUCCUUAAAAAUUAGGCAAGUAAGGUGGAAAAUUAGUGAGACCCAUUUGGAUGUAAAGAUAAAUUGGGUUCAAUUGGAAAUCAAGUCGCAAACUUCUGGCCCUUGGUUGCCUUCGUCACUUCAGGCCUUGGCUCUCUCUCACCUUUCUAAAGGUCCAGAUUUGUGUGGGAGGCAAUAAUUUGAAUGUUAGCAUGUAUGUGUCUCUCUCACCUCUCUGAAGGUCCGGAUUGAUGACACAUACAUCACCAAUAUUGAAAAUAUUGUCUUUCUCAAAUUGGUGGUUCGAUUGUGAUGAGGAACGCUCAUUUAGUACAUAGCUCCCAUUGGUACGAUUUCAUAUCUUUUGGGAUCUCAUUUGCCUUUCUCUGACGAUUUCAUUUAGUACAUUUAGUAAAUAAGCCUAAAAAUUAUAUUGCAGACGACAUUUUAUAUAAACUGUUGUGUUUUUACGUAUUACAUGUAAUUUUGUUGAUCUACCAUCGUUUGUUUGACCAUAAAAAUUCUGUCCAUAAAAUAAAUCUUUAAAAAGCAAUACACAGACGACAGUAGCUACAAAACGGUGGUCGUAUAACGGAAAUACUGAUGACGCUAUUUCCAACAACCGUCAUCGUAGGCUAAAAAUCCCAGGAAUUAAAUCUUAAAAGGCAAUACAAAUUUCAGACGACAGUAGUUACAGAACGACCAUCGUAUAACCGAAAUACAAACGACGGUAUUUCCAAUUACCGUCGUCGUGGGCUAUAAAAACACAAAAAUUAAAUCUUAAAUUUAGACUUUUACUUUCUUCUCAUACGUCAUGAAUUUAUUUUUACGGCGGUGGUAUAUUAAAUUAAUACGGCACUUAUUACGAAAUUAGCAAUGUGGAUUCCUAUAAUAUUAUACGACGCUCAUUACACCAUGGUUAGGUACAAUAAACUCAAACACUAUAUUCUACAAUAACGACAUGGUAAAUUACAUUUACCACGACCGUUUAUUUACAAAGACACAUUGUAAAAUAGUCAAAGAGCGACAUGGAUAUGUUUAAAUUUAGGCGUCGUUAUGCUGUUGGUUGACUAUAACUUCACAAAAAAGUAAUUUUAUAACUACCAUCGUAGUAUAAGAGAACUUCAUACGACGUCAUGACGACAAUUAUCUUCGUGGUUAAGUACAAGUUAACACGGCCGCAGUCUAGGUAAAACGUCGUCUUUAAUGUCUAUGUCGGUAGCUUUAUACCUACUAUCGUUGUUUAGGGUUAAGUGUCAUAAUUGGAAAUAACAUGUUUCAUAAGACAACGCUUUUUAAGUUUGAGGCAUCGUGUUUUAAAGAUACCACGUCGGAUCUCAAUUUUUGAUGUGUUUAAGUUAUUGGUCCACGGCGGUUUUCUAUUACCAUCGUCUUUCUAAACGCAACGACGGUAUUUAUUUCUUCCGUCGUUGUAUCAUUGUCGUCUUUUUUCAUUUUUGUAGUAGUGAUGUUAAUAUAUAAUAGUAGAAACUAGAAAGAAAUUCAAAACCUGGAAAUAACAGAGCUCAAGAAAAGAAGUAAACAGAAUGCAAAACAUAAGACAAGCCUUGCAAGCAUGGUCCUCACGUUUCAAUUUUCAACCAAAUGCAAAUGAGAAAAAAAGAAAAAAAAUGUCUGAAUUUGAAUUUUUGGUAUGUAGGCCAACUAUUGCUCUGUAAGAAACAAAGAGUACACAGAGGUGAGUGACUGGACGUCAACAUUUAAGUCCAUCUCACACACUGUAAAUAACUUGUCAUGGACGUCAUAGCUAGUAGGAGUGGGUACAAUCCAAUUCGGUCCGAUUUUAGUGAAAAAAAUUAUAAAACUAACUGAUUUGGUUUGAACUGAUUCCGAUUCGGUUCAGUUUUGGACUAGAUUAGUAUUAUUAUUUUAAAUUAUUUUUCUAUAUAAAUUCCAAUUAAAAUUUUAUUUUUUGGGCUUGAAAAACAAAUAAAGGGCUUGGAGUUGGGCUUGAUGGCUUGGAAGAGCUUUUUGCGCUUGAAGAAAGAUUAGGCUUGGAGAAAAAAUUGUGUUUGGGCUAAUAUUAUAUAAAUAAAUAAUAUGUAUUUAAGCUGAUUUAGUUCCCUUUUUUUACUACAAGAAUUGGAAUUGGAAUCGGACCAAAUCGGUCCAGUUCGGUUUUUGGUCAACUAAGUUUUUUCUGUCCAAUUCAGCUCAGUUUUUUGAUUUUCUGAUUUGAAUGCCCACCUCUAGUAGCUAGCAUGGAAAAACAAAAAUAAAAACAAAAACAAAAAAACCUUGUCACCACAGUUUUAGCAAGGGAAAAAAUAGAGGGGGGAGAGAAAAAAAAUUAAACUUGUCAAUGGGCAGUGGCAACCUAUUGCCAUGAUGGGGAAUCUUUUACUCCUUGAUGAGGAAGGCUAGAAACAGUAAUAUACAAAUAGAAUAGAUUCUUUCAAUAGAGCAUUUGGAGCACUUUCUGAAAGAUUGUUCGGAAAGUAAUUAGAUGGAGCCAUCCAUGUGUUCCACCACACACCAUCGUUGUUGGGAGGGUUUUAUAAUUGCUUUGGCGUACAUAGGGAAAGACUUGGGAUUUUAAAAAGGGGUGGUUAAAUUUAUCUUAUGUACGCACCGUAGAAUGGAACAUAAAAGUGCAACUACUGCACCGUACCAAUUUGUUCAUUUAUUUAUUUAUUUAUUUCACUUAAGGGAUUAUGUGUGAAGAGGGUCAUCAAUGAAGGGAAAAUUAGAAGUAGGCUGUUCAUAAAAAUAAAAAUAUAUAUAUAUAUAUACCUAAUUAAAAAGAAGUUGGCAGUAGGCUAAAAAUGUAAGAACAAGACGGAAAUACUUUUCAUUUUAAAGAGAACUUUACAUAGAUGUCCUACACAAGAAUGUCCUCGAAUAGUCCAAGAGAAUUGAAUUCAUUAGUUCGUCUUAUCUUCUUUUCCUUAAGUGUAUUGUUGGAUGAUCUAUGAGCCUUGGUUUGAUGUGAGCCUUUGGAUGCGAGUGUGACAUGAUUGUCAUUAGUAGGCAUGGGUGGGAUAAAUUAAAUUUUAGGCUGGUAGAAUAAGGUCAUCUCCAGUCAUGGGUCAUAGGCCAAAUGUAGCUCUAAAAUAAUGCAAAACUCAUCUUCAACCACGGGCUAAAAAAUAUUUGGCCAAAUUUGGAGGGCCGCAUUUAGCCAUUUAGCCCUCCAACCAGGCCACUUGUAACCCAGCUAUACCCCAGGCCAAAUUUUUUUGUGGGCCCAGAGUAUGUGUUGCCCAAGAAGAGAAAGUAUCACGCAUGGGCGAGAGCAUGAAAUAUCUCGUACAACUCUAGAUCCAAAGGCUUAUAUUAAAGGUGCACUAGCAUCAGCUAGCCGUUACCUUUUUCUCCUUUUUUUUCUUCUUUUUUUUUUUUUUCUCUUUUUGCGUUUUAAAUGUAUAUAAAUAUAUUUAUAAAAAAAUUAUAAACAAUUGGUUCCGACCGUUGGGAGGUCAGCACCCUUCGAAAUGCAUCAAAAAAUUUUUUCUUUUCAAAUUUGUCGUUGUUGGCUUUCUUUUCUUCUUUUUUUAAAAAAAAUUUUUAAAAACCUAAAAUAUGUCUAUAAAUAUCUCAAAAUUUCUUCAAAAAUAUUCCUGCACAUUUCUUACAAAUUCUAUCACAUUCUCUAUCUAUUCACAACUUUCCACACUCAACACGUAUAGAAUCUCAAAUUGCCAAUAAGAACUCGACACGUACACUUCCCAUGCUAGGGAAACAUUACUUUGCCCCGUGCUGAGCAUGGUUUUGGGCCAGGGAGGAGAGAGAGCACAACUUGACUGAGUAAGAAGGAAUCUAAAUGGGUGCUUGUCUAAAAGCAGUAAUAAAUUUGGGUGUGAGGAACUUGCUUCCAAAGGAGUUAGAGAUGGAGCCACCCACUACUCACUAUUGUAGUUAAGAAUGUUUUUUCAUGCACCAUUUGGGAAGAAAAUUUGAACAAUUAAUCUGCAUCCACAUUUACAGCUAGGGCUCGUCAAUGGGCCAAGUCGGGCUAGCCCGGCCCAAAUUUAAUGGGCUUGGGCUAGGCUGGGCUGGGCCGGGCUUUAAAGAGAAGAGAGAAAAUAUCGGAUCGGGCCGGGCCAAGUUUUUUUAAAAAAUUCAAAGCCCAAGUCCAGCCCAUUAGCCAGGCUUGAGAAAGGCCAUCGGGCCGGGCCGGGCCUAAACAGUCCUACUUCAUUCAAAAAAAAUCAUAAACUUAAUCAUAAGGGCAUUUUAGUCCAAAUUUGAGAUUAAACUCACUUAAUUUCAAUAUUUUUACAUCAAACCAAAUUCAUAAAAUACCCAAUAAAGUCACACAACUUAUAAGAUUUUCCACAAAAAUAAUAAAAUCAAGUAUUAUUUUUGAGGUUGUUACAUAAUUAGAUCGUAAUACAUUUUAAGAAAUAAUUUUUAAAAAUAAUAAGUAUCAAAAAAAUAUUUUUUUAAAGGAUGGUAUGAAUAAAUAUGCAAAUAUUUGGUGAUGUGUUCAAGAAAAGCCUGAUUAUAUUUGGUGGUACGAUUAUGUUUCGUGAUAUGAUUAUAUUUGGCGAUGUGAUAUGUUGUUCAUCUUAUAUAUAUAUAAUUGUUGAAUUAAUAAUCGACACAAAUUAAUGUGCUAAUCAUCCAAUUAUAAACUAGGAAUGAGUAAAGAUAAGUAAAUGAAAUGAAACAAAUUAUACAUGUGAUUUAAGUGAUAUAAUCCUAAAACUAAAUUCAUAUUUAUACAUAAUUAUAUAUGUAUACGGGCCUAACGGGCCGGGCUUUUGUGGGGUGGCUGGGCUGGGCUUUCUUGGGCUUAAUCGGGCCAGGCCGGGCUUCAAACGCCCAAGCCUAGCCCAGCCCAAGGCGGGUCGGACCAUCUCAAAGCCCAUAACGGGCCGGGCCAGGCUUUUUUUCGAUGGGCUGAGCGGCCCUCCAUUGGCCCAUGAGCCAACAGGCCAAAUGAUGAGGCCUAUUUACAGCCUAUCAGAACCCAUUUGAGUUCCAAAAACCUAAAAACCUUCCCUUUCUCUAUUUUGUUUAUUUCAUUAGCUUUUUUCAUGCGUAUUUGUGUCAGUGGGACAUACAAAUGGAGAUGUAAAAAUUAAUGUAUAUCUAAGUUUUUUUUUUACAUUUUCCGACGAGACUUAGAUUUACAACUUCAAUAUUCCGGCCCAUUGAAGCUCUAAAUAGUACAACACAAAAACCAUGAAAGAAAAUGUGGAGUUCAUCGAAUAGUACAACACAGAGAAAAAGUGGGAUAGAUGCAUAGAGGAGGACGAGAAGAUGGAGUGAAGAGACUAAGAAUGAUGAAGGAAAAAAAUUGAGAGAGAUGGAGUGGAUGCUACUCAAGAGAAGAGAUGUGCUGAGGUUUUUAACAGUAACACUUUUAUGUUCUUCUUUUAAAAAAAUAAAAAUAAAUAGCUGGAUGAAAUCUAUUAAAUACAUUCAUUAUGCAUUAUUAAAACAAGAAGCAUUCUUGCUUUGGUGGUUUACGGUGUGUUUGGAUGAGGGAAAUAAACUUUGGAUUUUGACAGAAGUUGUAAUUUCUAAGAGCAUCUCAAGCAUCCUUUUCAAAGACUUUGGGACACUAAAAUAGGUGAGCCACAUCAGCAAACCUUAUCAACCCACUCACCAAACUGGGACUCCUCAUUGACUCUACAUAACAUAUUUAUUAAUAAAGCUUUGGAACAACAAAACUAGUGAAAAUGAUGUAUUAUUAUUUAAAUAUUGAUAUGAUAUUGUUAAAUCAAAUUAAAUAUUAGUUUUUGAUUAAAAAGAAGAAGAAAAAAAGUCAAACAUUGAAUUAAUUAUAUUGAAGAGGUUGUUGGAGGUUCAAAAUAGUAAAGUAGCAAAUUUUACUCUUCAAAUUAUCACAUAGGUCAACAAACCACAAUUUGAAGAGACUAUUUGAGAUGCUCUAAAUUGACAUAAACCGUGUUUGGAUAACAAAACAAUGAAAUUUAUAAAUUCCGCAUGAGAAAAAAUAUGGAAUUUGGAAGUCAUAAAUCCCAACUUUAAAUUCUAUCUAAAUAGCACUCAUUUCUAAAAUUCCAAAAGUAGAGAUUGAGUUUUAAAAAAAUAGAACUUUACAAAUAAACGUUAAAUUACGUGUUUAAAUUCGUUAGCCAAACAAGAAACUUUACAAAUUCUACCACAUUAAUUUUCAUCAUUUUAUAUUUUAUCAUUUAUAAAUUCCUUUCUAUUUAUAAAUUUCGUUUUUUUCAUUAGUUUGGCCAAUUUUCGGGUUGAUUUUCCCGGCCCUAUAGGUAGUAUGUUGGGCUCAAACAAAGGUACAUAUAUAUGGGAAAAAGAUAAAUGUAAUAUACAUUGACACAACGGUUGUGGUGGCCUAUACUUCCAAGUAACCCAAGUGAACAAAUAAAAAUCGAAUGGAUCAGAAAGUUGAUGACCUUGACUAGCUAAGGUGGGUAAACAUAAACAUUCUAGCCAUGCACUGGUCAUCCACGAUUGAAGGGAGCCAGUAAUAAAAAUUACCAACCAUUUGUAAUGCUUCCCAAAUUUGGACAAAACACACAACGACUCCUAAUUUUGUUGUGACUCGUGAACAAUGAUCUCCCCACCUCACAAUCCUUAACAGAAAUAACUGUCAUUCUGAGGCCCCCUCCCAUAUAAAUACCUCCAUAACCCAACACUUUGAAAGCAGCAAGGGCACCAAUAAGUAUUAUCCAGUGCCCCAAAUAAAGUGACCCCAACAGCUCUGCAGCAACUCACCUGAAAAAGAAAUAAGAAGUUCCCGCAACAAAAAUCCUUUUGUUUAACCCUUCUUAUUUUCUUUUUCGCCACCAGAAUCCUUCUUAAAAAAUAUCUAUAAAUUAGUUAUUAAAUAUAUUAUUCAAAAUGAGCGGAGGAGAAGUACAGAAUAAGAAAAAGAUCGCCAUCAUCGGCGUCUCCGCUCUGAUUCUGGUGGCUAUGGUAGUUGCUGUAACUGUUGGGGUCACCGUGUCACGGCACAAAGGCAAAUCCGGCGGUGAGCAAACAUCCACGUCGACAAAGGCGAUCCAGUCGAUCUGCCAGCCCACGGACUACAAAAAGACCUGCGAGGACAACCUGUCCAAGGUGGCCAGCAACGUCACCGACCCAAAAGAGCUGGUCAAGGCAGGGUUCCAGGUCGCCAUCGGCCAGCUCCGCGAGGUCAUCAAGAACUCGACGACCUUGAAGGAGCUUGCCAAGGACUCCAGAGCAAACCAGGCCUUGCAGAACUGCAAGGAGCUCUUAGAGUAUGCCAUCGACGAUUUGGGUGACUCGUUCGAUAAGCUGGGUCCCUUUGACUUCACCAAGCUUGAUUCCUACGUGGAGGAUCUCAAGGUCUGGCUCAGCGCCGCCAUGACGUACGAGCAAACUUGCCUGGAUGGGUUUCAGAACACCACCGGUGACGCUGGAGCGAAGAUGAGGCAGUUCUUGAAGACAUCUCAGGAGCUCACCAGCAACGGCCUUGCCAUGGUAAGCGAAGUGUCCACGUUGUUCAAGGCUCUGAACAUCAAGACCGGGCGCCGCCUCCUCCAAGACGCUGCCACGGCCACUGAUGAGAAUAGGUUCCAGAGGGCUAAGAUCAUCCCUGCUUGGAUCGACAACCGAAGGCUCGACCUCGCCACCGCCACUCCUCUGACGCUGAAACCCGAUGUGGUGGUGUCCAAGAAGGGAGAUGGCAAAUACAAGACUAUUAACGAAGCCUUGAAGGACAUCCCAAAGAACAACGAGGUGAAGGUCUUCGUGAUUUAUGUCAAGGAGGGUGUGUACGACGAGCAUGUCUUUUUCGAUAAGCACAUGACCAAUGUCAUGCUUAUCGGAGAUGGCCCUACCAAGACCGUUAUCACCGGUAGGAAGAACUACGCCGAUGGUACCCAAACGUACCAGACUGCCACAGUUGGUAAGUACAACGUUUUGACAUAUGCAUGUUAUAUUGUUAGGAUUUUAGAACUAUGCCUAGUCUCACUCAUUAUGUACAUUAUUAUGUUUUGCAGCUGUUGUUGGAGACUACUUCAUUGCCAAGGACGUCGGAUUCGAGAACACAGCCGGAGCCAUCGGACACCAAGCCGUGGCUCUGCGUGUGCAGUCAGACUUGUCCAUUUUCUACAACUGCAACAUGGACGGGUACCAAGACACCCUCUACACCCAAACCCACAGGCAAUUCUACCGCGACUGCACCAUCAGUGGAACAAUCGACUUCAUCUUUGGGGACGCAGCCGCCGUCUUCCAAAACUGCAAGAUGAUCGUCAGGAAGCCAUUGGAGAACCAGGCCUGCAUGGUGACAGCCCACGGUAGACUCGACAUGCGCUCACCCUCAGCUCUCAUCCUCCAAAACUGCACCAUCUCCGGCGAGCGUGGCUACGACAAGGAACUCAACAAGGCCUACUUGGGCAGGCCAUGGACGAGCUUGGCUAGGGCCAUCGUCAUGCAAUCCCAGAUCGAUGACGUCAUCGCUCCCGAAGGGUGGAUGGAAUGGACCGGUACCGCAAAUCACAACACAUGCUGGUUCGGUGAGUUCGGAAACAGGGGAGUUGGUGCAGAGCUGAGCAAGAGGGUUACGUGGAGCGGGAUGAAAAAGCUUACACCUGAGCAAGCCGCCGAUUUCACGGCUGGCAAGUUCAUCUUCGGUGAUAGAUGGAUUCUGCCCAGCGGUGUGCCUUACGUUGCUGGCAUGAUGACCGGAGUGUAGAUAACGAUGAGAAUCCAUCGUCAUGUAGACGGUUUUUAAACCGUCGUGAAAUCGAUUGUCAUCUAAAUUACUGCCGUUGUUACAACAUACCACGUCAUCUUCAACUAAAAACCAACGUCUAAUUAAUAUAAAAACAGAAAAAAAGGCAAAUUUCGAUAAGCAUAGACAACGCUCUUAGAAACUUCGCGUCGUCUGAAUGAGAUAACAUGAUACAAUUUAUCAACCUCGUGCAGUAACGUAGAGUAACAAUGACAAAAACUAUUAACUUAUCGUCGUGUAGAAUCGCUGUCAUGACAGUACUUGAAAAUAAAGUGUCAUGGUUAAUCAAGAUUCCACAGCGCUUAUGGUAUGGAACAACGUGAAAAUGUAGUAGUAAUGGCUGUAAAUAUGGGAAGAACGAUAUUAUGAUCUACUACAACCCUAGUAUUUAUAUGGCUAUCGUUGUUACUUUAACUUACCACAACGCGAAUUAUAUAAAUAUAGACGUGGUUCCUCCCUCUAUAUGGCAUUGAUAACACCGAUAUCGUCGUGAGAAUUUUGUUAGACUACGUCAGGGAUCAGCCUACUGACGUUCAGAAGAACUUUCACGAUGGAUCUUUAAACUGAAAUGCAUUUUGUGAUUCUGAUAGAUGACGGUAAAUGUAUAUGGAAGGUCGUAGUGAAUUCGUUAAAUACGUCGUUUGUACCCUUUACCGUAGUAUUAUUAUAUUUGAAAUGUCGCAUCUAUGAACAACUCCGUAGUGAAUACGACUCUGAUAACACCGGUAUCAUCAUGUGUAUGUUUGUUAGAUGACGGUAGGUAUCAACUUACCGAUGUUCAAAAGAACUUUCACGACAAAUAUUUAAACUGAAAUGCCUUUUGUGGUUCUGAUAGACGACUAUAAAUAUAUAUGGAAGGUUGUAGUGAAGUCCUUAAAUACAUUGUUUUGUACCAUUUAUCGACGUGUUAUUAUAUUUGAAAUAUCACUUCUACGAACAACUUCGUCGUGAAUACGGCGCUGAUAACACCAAUAUCAUCGUGUGUAUGUUUGUUAGAUGAUGACAAGUAUCAACUUACCGAUGUUUAGAAGAGCUUUCACAAAAGAUAUUUAAACUGAAAUGCCUUUUGUGGUUCUGAUAGACGACGGUAUAUAUAUACACACACAUACAUAUACAUAUGGAAGGUCAUAGUGAAGUCGUUAAAUACGUCGUUUUGUACCCUUUACCAUUGCAUGUUUAUAUUUGAACUGUCGCUUCUAUGGAGAACUUCAUCGUGAAUAUACAGUAGUAACGGCUGCAUAUGACCGUCGUUGUUUGAUUAUUAUGUACGAUGCUUUCAACUAAAUGACAGUCAUGUGUGUUAACCUUUAGAUGUCAAUACCUACAUUACGAUCGUGGUCUGAUAAUAAAAAAGACGUUAUUUUUCAUUCAGCGUCGCUAAUUGGAAUUCGAUUUUAUUUAAUUGACAUAUUUUUUUAUUUCAAAUGGCGGUUUUUAUUUAGGUACAGUUGUUUACCAUCGUCCAUUCCACGACGUUUGUUAAAAAAGGACGUUGUGUAUCAUUUAGAUGUCUGUUUUUGGAAUUUGUUAACUAGACCGUCGUAUUUUAUAUCUUGAACCCAGUAUUUUUAAUACUGAAAGUGUUGUGCCCAAAACCUGCAUAGUGAAAGUAAAAAAAAUAAUGUCAUACAUUACAAUUUAUUACAAAAUUAAUGUCAUACAGAGCCAUUUAGGGCAUAACUAAUGUCACACAUUAAAACCAUCAUUCAAUCCAUAUAUUUUCACUUCCAAACUUACCAGCUAGUUCAUCAAAUGUGCCAACAUUUGGCAUCCUUCUGGUAAAUGGCUCACACUCAAUUCUCACAUCACCUAGCACGUCAUCACCAAUAACAUUAUUAUAUUCUUUAUUAGGCAUUAAUAAAACUACCGACCAGAUCAUUACACCUUUCGUGUGGUCGAAACUUACCCGACACUUACCCGACAAGGAAUUUCGCUAUCUCAACUAUAAUGCGUUGGGUUGUCAACAAAAAAUACUUGUUUGACUUAAGAAGCCAUAACAAAUUGGUCAUUUCUAUGUCCAAUUUUACUCAGAUCUACAAGGGUAAAUCCAAGUUCAUUGACUACAAGGCCAGAAACAUUACCUAUCCAAUCACACCUAAAGAUUGGAAUUCAAAAAAUUUGGUAGUCAAGGCCCCAAAUAUCUUGAAUGACACCAUAAAAACCUAUAUUUGAGACAAUCAGGUUUUUAUCCUUGGCACUUGCAACUUGCGCCUUAGUGAGUAAAUAAACUCCACUAUUUUGAAUAGUCCGGACAUCAUCUUGUGCCUUAGUGUUAAAUUUAACACAUUUACUAAGAUAGCUCUUAUAUGAUGGCACUGCCAUGCUUAAACCAGCUGUUAGCCACCUCAAAUUUUCUAAUACGCCAUUAUUAUCUUUCCUAUUGAGUUCACUUUGAACCUGCAAGUUAAUCAUAUCUCAAUAAAAAUAAUAGGCUUAUUUACUGCAGUGUCCCAUGAAACUAUGGUCAAAUCUCAGAUUGCCCUCCAAAAGUUAAAGUGGCUCAUAUUUCCCCCUUGACCAAGGUUUGGUGUUCCACUAUGCCCCCUACCGUCAUCUCCAUCCAUAAUUCCGUUAACAUUGAUGACGUGGUAGGGUUAGAUUAGUAAUUUUAUAUACAUGGGUUCUUUAUCCACCUCCAAGUUGGACAAACAAAUAAUAAAAAAUAAUUUAUAUUUAUUAAAUACUUUUAAAAAAUAAAAAUGAAUUAUACAACAAUUUUUUUUUUAAAAAACAGAAAUUGAAAGAAAAAAAAAAAAAUUCUAGCCCAAUCGCCUUCCUCACCCUCCCAGCCCCUCAUCCCCUCUCUCUCUCUCUCUCUCUCUCUCUCUCUCUCUCUCUCACACACACACACACACACCCUUUACACAAUAUUCUCCAUCUAAGCCCCAUCCUUACCGCAUGUUCGACCUUCCUUGACCCAUCCAUCCCCCACAACCACAGACCAUCUAACGGAUAGUGGUGCAAGGAGCGGAGUGAUGAAACACAAAAAAUCAACCCAUAGUCUAUGCUGAGGACUCGCCGCAGGAGCAGCCGAACCCGGCUCUGAACCCGCACAUGAAUUCGCAGUCUCGACAGUCACCGCAGCCGCCUCAAAUUCCAAUUUGCGAGUCCAUUUCUCGCGAGACUGGUCCAAUUCGUUCAAUUGAGCCCAGUGUUGUUGAAUAUCAAAGAAGUACUCGUUCAUACCUCGAGUCUUCUGCUUUUGAUUGGCUUCAAGGAUCGAUUUUUCAUGCUGGGUUUGAACAAACUCUUCUUUCUCUUGCUUCUGUUCCUAGCCCACCAAAAUCAGCAACAUAAGUAUGUCACUCAUUGGGCUAUUUAAUGAACCUACAACUGAGGAGAUGUGGGGAUUUGGUGUAGGUACUUUUGGGGAGGAAAUGAGCUGAGUGAUGAAAUUGAAAGGGUAGUGGUGGUGUUUGUAGGGCGAGGCUGAAGUGCUGGGAGGAUGAGGGAGAUUGGAUCUGGGCUAGUUUUUUUCUUCUUUCAAUUUUAUGUUAAUUUUUUUAAAAGUAUUUAAUAAAUAUAAAUUAUUUUUUAUUAUUUGCUUGUCCAACCUGGAGGUGGAUAAAGAACCCAUGUAUAUAAAAUUACUAAUAUAACCCUGCCACGUCAUCAAUAUUAACGGAAUUAUGGAUGUAGAUAAUGGUAGGGGACAAAGUGAAACACCAAACCUUGGUCAAGGGGGUAAUAUGGGUAACUUUAACUUCCGGGGGGCAAUAUGAGAUUUGAUCAUAGUAAAUAAGCCUAACAUAUACCUUAAAGCGUAACCAUUGAAUGAAAGUGUUGUUGUGCUUAUCUUGAGGCUACUUUGUUCACUUUUUAAAUUUUGGAUAAGUGGUCUUGAUGUGGACUAUAUGUUCCUUACGGAAAAUUUAAGCAUUACAGUACCUUGUAUAUAAUAAAAAUAUAAGGGAUAAUUUAAAACAUAAUGAAUCAAACUCAUACUCGAUAUAAGGUAAGACUUCCUCCGAAUUCUGCAACACAUAUAGAUGUGCUAAGUUCAACUAAGCUCAAUGGGCAACCUGAUAGUGGCUAAGCUCACUGAGCAACCUGAUAGUGGCUUUGAAAGUCCUAUUUUCUGGCUUGAUGGCACUCCAAUUGUACUAAUAUCAAAUAAAUGCUCGGUGCAAAACUCCGCAGCUUUUUUAGCUAUACACCCCUCAGCAAUGCAAUUUUCGGGAUGAGUACGGUUAUGAACAUACCUCUUUAGCACUUUCAUUUAUGUUUCAAACGGAUACAUCCAUCUAAAAUAAACUAACCCACAUAGACGAACUUCUUUGACAAGACAUACUACUAAAUGAACCAUGAUAUCGAAGAAUGAAAGGGGAAAGUAUUUCUCAAGCAAACACAAAGUAACUACUAUAUCUUCUUCCAACUUAUUUAGCUUGAAAACAUCCACCGUCUUUGCACAUAUAGCAUUGAAGAAGAAGUAUAGUCGAGUUAUUGCAUACCUUGCAGGCUUCUCCAAAAUAGAACGAAUUGUCAUAGGAAGCAAUUGUUGCAUCAAUGUAUGACAAUCCUGUGAUUUAAGGCCAAAAAGUCUUGAAUCUUGUAAAGAUACAAGAUUUUUUUUAUAUUUGAAGAAUAACCCUCAUACCAUAGAAAGAAUUCCAAAUCGUUCUCUUCUAUGCCCUUGACAAAUUCCAAGGCCCUGGAGGCAAGCAAGUACGUCUUUCUCCGUACUAGGGUUGCAAAUCAGUCUUGACCCUCAUGUUCAAUAAAUCUAAACGAGCAGCAACCCCAUCUUUAUUUUUUCUAGGGAUCUCCACCAACAUACCAAUGAUAUUAUCGCAAACAUUCUUCUUAAUGUGCAUAAUAUCGAGGACAUGCCUUACAUGAAGGUAUUUCUAAUACUCGAUAUCAAAGAAUUUUAACUUCUUCUUCCAACAAAUUUUGUCACCAAUAUUUUCACCUCCACUUUCCCCUUUUUUCGAGCCCCAUUAGUAAUUAAUACCUUCAACCAUUUGUAGCACUUCUUCUCCGAUUAAUGGCUCUAGAGGCGUGUCAUAUUCCGGUUUUCCAUUAAAAACUGCACGCUACCUCCAAUAUGGAUGAUAUGUUGGUAACCAUUUUCUAGGCCCGAUGUAACAAAUUUUGUGAUCAUUUUACAACCUGUGACUAGGUGUAUUAUCGCCGCAUAUUGGACAAGCUUUAUAUCCUUUAAUGACACAACCAGAUAAGUUUCCAAAGGCAAAAAAAUCAUUAAUUGUCCACAAUAAUACACCUCUUAGUGUAACGUAUUCUCCUAUGUGUGCAUCGUACAUUCCUUUAAUCUCAUUCCACAAAGCUUUUAAAUCAUCAAUCAAAGGCUUUUAGUAGACGUUUAUAUCAUUUUCGGUCUGUUAGGAUAGGAAAUCAAUAUGAUCAACAUCAUGAACUUUCGUUUCAUGCAUAGCCAUGGUGGGAGAUUAUAUGUAACUAAGAUAACUGGCCAACAACUGUAUCUGCUACUUAGAGAACUGUGGGGAUUGAAUUCAUCAGAUGAGAGAGCCAGUCUUAAGUUUCUCGACUCUUUACCAAACUCGAGCCAUUUAUCAUCCACAAGCUUCCAAUUCGGGGAAUACGCUGGAUGAGACAUUUGACCAUCAAUUGAUUUUCUAUCAGCAUGCCAAGUCAAACUCUUAGUUGUCUUACUUGAUUGAAACAUCAUUUUAAACCUUGGAAUUGGUGGAAAAUACCACACCACCUUCGUUGGCACACCCUCUUUCAAGAUUGAAUCUUUGUCUUCCUUCCACUUUGAGAUACCACAAGUAUGACAAUUAAUUGAAUCUUCAUAAUCCUUCCUAUACAAGAUGCAGUCAUUGGGGUAUGCGUGGAUUUUCUCAAAACUCUUCCUUAAUGCAGACAGUCUUUUUUGCCUCGUAUAUAGAGGAAGGUAUUGUAUUUCCCUCUGGAAGCAAAUCUCCUUAAAAUAUUAAUAAUUCUUUAAAAUAGACAUCACUCAUCCCAUGUUUUGCUUUCAAAUUAUAUAACUUCACUAAUGCCGAAAACUUGGUGUACUUACUACAACAAGGGAACAAGGGUUGAUCUCCAUCCCCAAUCACAUUGGCAAACUCAUAAGGAUCAGAUCCAGUAUCGCCUAAAUCAUUAUCACUCAUCUCUAUUUCUUCAUAAACAAAACUUUACUUACUUUUGUCAUCUUCUUCCACAUUUCUACUAGCAUUAGUAGUUGAUUGUCAAAGGUUCUCUGUGCCAUGUCCAAAUCUUAGAGCUUUGGUCAACUCAAUUAAAGUAUAAGUGGUCCUUUAUAAUUUCAACCCCAAACAAUCGCAUAUUCCCACAUUUAACACAUGGACAUUGAGUAUGUGUUGUAUUUCCAAGAUUUUCUACAGCAAAGUUCAAAAAUCCUCCCACUCCUAACUUAUAUGCCUUCGAUCUUCUAUCCGCAUGCAUCCAUGAGUUAUCCAUCUCCCACACUAUACAAUCAUAUAUAUAAUAAGUGAAAAGGCAAGCAAUGACUGUCACUAAUGCAGAUUUCACAUAAUAUAGUAUAUAUAUUUAUUUAUUUAAAUUAAGUAAUACAAUUUCAGACGACGGUAUUUACAAAACGAUCGUCAUAUUAUAGUAAUACAGAUGACGGUUUCUCCAAUAACCAUUGUCUUUAAGCUACCAAAACCCAGAAAAUGAAUCUUUAAAAAAGCAAAAUAAAUUUCAUACGACCGUACCAACGUAUGACGACAAUACAUACGACGGUUUUUUCCAAUUUCCGUCAUCGUAGGCUACAAAAACCCAGAAAAUAAAUCUCUAAUUCCCAGUCCUUUAACCCAUACCUAACCAAACAUAUAUUAAGAACUCAUAACAGAGAGUUAUUACCUAACCAAACAUAUAUUAAGAACUCAUAACAGAGAGUUAUUACGAAAAGCAUGCAAACAUUAAAUCCAUUCACAAAAUCCAUUCCUGAUUCAUAAUAAUAGAGAGUUAUUAUGAAAAGCGACAGUUUCCAAGAACCCAUCGUUUCCAAAACAUAUAUUAAGAACCCAUAACUCCCAAAACAAAUGAAAUCAUUUAUUGAUUUAAGAAGCAUGUCAGAUUAGGUUGGUACUUAAGAACCCAUAACUCAAUAUUAUUAAAUGAUUUAACAAGCACGUGAGAUUAGAGUUUGUACUUACAGGUAGGCAUAGCUCAGAGAACAUCACCAAUGGUUUGAGAGUGAGAGUAAAAUGUUUUCGACGGAGGAUGGAGAGCGAAAUCUUUAAGAUUAGUGUUGAACCUGUAACUUUGGGAUAGCCAUAAUAUCGCAAUCAUACAGGUAGAACGAAGAGAUUGAGUGGUUCACCCAUAAAAUCGGGCUACAUCCACUGAUUGUUGUAUUUGUGUAUAUAUAUAUAUAUAGGCCAGAGCCUUUACAAAUGGGAGAGGAGAGAGAUCUAGAGGAAAGGAGAUAGAGCUGCCGAGAGCCCUCUCUUCUCAUGGCUCCCUCCCUAUUUUGGGGUCCCCUUUCAGCAAGAGGAGAGAAUCCCUUUUGUAGGAGAACAACCCCUUCAGCAAGAAUAGCUUCUUGGCUGGGAACUUUCAAGUAAGACCAGUGUUUGGCCUAGCUGAGCACACAUAUGGAGAUAAUAAGUUGUAUUUUACCUACAAAAGGGUGGUACAAGGUAGAGAAGGUGUCGAGCUGAGCACACAUGUAGAGAUAAUAAGGCCGAGCCGAACACAUAUGUGAAGAUAAAAUAAGGCCGACCCAAGCACAUGUAUGAGAUAAUAAGGCCGAGCCGAGCACAUAUAUGAAGAUAUAAUUUUCCCUCUCUUUAAGCAUGGCGAGAUAUAUUGAAGAUAGUAUGGCCGAGCCAAGCACAUAUAAGGAGAUAAUAUUUUCCUAUAUUUUCCUUAUCUCGCUUUGACUAUGGAGGUACAAGGUCGAGAGUGUGCUGCUUUAGCCAUCUCAGUCUCGACGUAGUUCGGGCCGUCUCGGUCUCAAUGUCGUUUGAGCCAUCUCGGUCUCGAUGACGUUUUGAACCUGUGAUAGUAUAGUGGAGAACCCAUUUCAUGGGCGAAUAUCUUUUGUUGGCGAGGUACCCCUUUGUGGACUUAGUUGUUCGACGAUGUAGUAGCACUCCGGAGAAUGUUUGUGCUUAGCCGAGCAUUGGGGCAGUGUAUAUGUUAAUUUCCAAGCAUCAGAGAGCUUCCAUUGAGGAAUCCCUCAAAUAAGCUUAUUUGAGGGACACCCCUUGUAGGCCCCACUCCGGAUUAUAUUUCACUAAUCCAAACCGCCUAUUUUGUAGAUACUCAUUCAAAGAUCAUCUCUACAAAAAAUCACUUGAAUCCGAUAUCAUGUGACCACUCAAUUGAGUUAUUGAAAUUUUAGUACUUUCUUAAAGCACCGUAUUCAUUGAUUUUGUAAGACACAAUUGGAUGUCGAAACGGUUUUCGAUUUGUCUAAUUUUUUGUAAGGAUGAUCUAUGAAUGAAUACCUAAAAAAUAGAUUGUUUGAAUUAUUGGGAAAAGAAUUAUAGAUUACCCUAAAAGGCGUCCCUCAAAUAAAAUUAUUUGAGGGAUCCCUCAAUAGAAUAGAACUGUUCUAAGCAUAUAUAUAUAUAUGCAUAUUUUAACAUUAUUAUCGGGCAACACUUUGUGCCUUUCUCAAAAGACCACAUGACUACUUUUGGCAUAUACCAUCAUUAUUUUUUUAAUAUUUUUAGAGAUUAACAUGAUUUUAAUGUAAAAUGGGAGGAGAUUUCUUAUCUCUUUAUUCUAUCCCUGGCUGAGAUAGGAGCAAAGUGCAUAUGUCCUGGCAGCAUCAAGAUAUAGAGCCCAUUUGGGCUUGCGUCAGUGGUAGGGAUGGGUGGUGUUACUAGCUGAUUUCUAGGCAAGAGAGAUGGGGUACCCCAUGAGAGAAAGGCAGGCAGGUGCCGAGCCGAGCUGUUUUUCCUUUCUCCUUUCACAUGUUGCCCUUCUGUCUGAGUAGGGAGAGAGUUUCUUAGUCUUUUUGAGAGAGAAGAGGCAUGGGUGCACCAAACUUAGUUGCCCCAUGUCCCAAGAUUAAGUGGGUCUGGUCGGCAGCGACGGGACCUGGUCAGCAGUAGCAGUAAGAUCUGCUCGGUAAAGAUGGGAUCGGGCCGACGGAAGUCACGAGAUCUGGUCGGCAACUAUGGGACCUGGUAGGUGACGGUGGUAAGGUCUGGUGGGCAACAAUGAGACUAGGUUGGCGACAGUGGUGACGUCUGGUCAGCAAGGACGGACCCACAGUGGGGUCAAUGGGGUCAAACGACCUCAUGGAGUCCAUGGAAGCAAGCUACAAGGUAGCUUUGAAAUGGGGUAUGACCCCAUGAGAGAGGGGAUCUGCAGACAAGAGGAAGAAGAAGAUGAACAGGGGGCUGUGUUCUGUUUCAAAGGAGCUGGCCAAAACGGCGUCGUUUUGGCCCAGCUUCUAUUUUUUUUUUUUAAAACAGACUGGCCAAAACGGCGUCGUUUUGGACUAAAACGCGCUGGCCAAAACGGCAUCGUUUUGGACCAGACGCGCGAAUUUUUUUUUAAAACUCGCUGGCCAAAACGGCGUCGUUUUGGACCAGCGAAUUUUUUUUAAAAACCCGCUGGCCAAAACGCCGUCGUUUUGGACCAGCGAAAUUUUUUUUUAAAAGACCUGGCCAAAAUGACGUCGUUUUGGCCCAGGUGUUAUAAAAAAAAACACAGAUCAGUUUCUCUUCUUCUUCCUCCCGAAUUUUCUUCCCAAAACACCUAUUUUCUAAACCCUCAUACCUAAAUCCCCAAUCUCCACCCCCACAAACCUUUAACCCUCUUCCCCACCAAGCCUUGAAGCCCCAAAUCCUCCAUUGUCGCCGCUGCCAGCAGCUCCACCAUUUCCAAAAGCUUGCCUCCACUUCCACCACCUCACAAUUCAAGGUAAAUUCUAACUCUAAACCUAAAUUACUUAAAUUGAAAUUGAAUUUAUGAUUGUAUUAUAUUGUUUAGAUUUAUUGGAUGUUUCAUUUAUGAAUUUUUUGUGGUUAAUUGGUAUAAAUUUGAUGUUGUUUAGAUUUAUUGGAUGUUUCAUUUAUGAAUUUUUUGUGGAUAAUUGGUAUAAAUUUGGUGUUGUUUAGAUUUAUUGGAUGUUUCAUUUAUGAAUUUUUUGUGGUUAAUUGGUAUAAAUUUGGUGUUGUUUAGAUUUAUUGGAUGUUUCAUGUAUGAAUUUUUUGUGGUUAAUUGGUAUAAAUUUGGUGUUGUUUAGAUUUAUUGGAUGUUUCAUUUAUGAAUUUUUUGUGGUUAAUUGGUAUAAAUUUGGUGUUCUCUUGAAUUGAUUUUAGUUAUUAUUUUGAUUAAUUUAUGUAGAAUUAUGGAAAGAUUUUUUAAGAGAAAGUCAUCAUUGGGUAGUUCGGAUAGUGUGGGAAGUUCAAAAACUUCAAGUUCAAGACAAAGUGAGUUAGAUGAGGUUUUGGCUAAUCUUCAGGCAGACCCGGGACUAAGAAUUCGUAUGAUUGAGUAUGAUGCUAAUAUUAGAGAUGAGGUUCGAAGAGCAUAUCUACAAAAAGGACCUUGUCAACCUAGAGGUCAUUCUUUCCCACAAAGUAAUAUCUCAGAACUUAAUCGACGCUUCAUUCCCCAAUGGUUUGGUGAAUUUGAUUGGUUGGAGUAUAGUGUAUCUAAAGAUGCUGCAUUUUGUCUUUAUUGCUAUCUCUUUAAAUCCAAUUUUGAACAAGUGGGUAGUGAAGCCUUCACUGGAGCAGGGUUUAAGAAUUGGAAGAAAGGGAGAGAAAGAAUGAAGGUGCAUGUUGGACCGGUUGGUAGUGUUCAUAAUAAAGCUAGAGAAGCCUCUACAAAUUUGAUGAAUCAAAAUACACAUAUUGAAACGGCUGUGAGCAAACACUCUGAACAAGCUCGUAUGGCAUAUCGAAGAUGCUUAAUUGCAUCAAUCAAGUGCACUAAGUUUCUAUUGAGACAAGGUCUUUCUUUUCGUGGAAAUGAUGAAAGUGCCACUUCAAGCAAUAGGGGAAAUUACUUGGAGUUAUUGCAAUUCCUUGCAGACAAUGAUGAGAAAGUUAAAGAAGUUGUGUUGGAAAAUGCUCCGGGGAAUCUCAAGUUAGUAGCUCCAAAGAUUCAAAAAGAUAUUGUGAAUGCAUGUGCCGGGGAAACACUUGAUGUCAUCAUGAGUGGUUUAAAAGAUAGAUUCUUUUCUAUAUUGGUGGAUGAAGCACGCGAUAUUUCUGUGAAAGAGCAAAUGGCUAUGGUGUUGCGUUAUGUGGAUGACAAAGGGCAUGUAAUUGAGAGGUUUGUGGGGGUUCAACAUGUUACCGACACCACUUCAAGUACACUAAAGGAUGCCAUUGACAUAUUCUUUUCUUCCAAUGGUUUGAGCUUUUCCAAGUUACGAGGACAAGGUUAUGAUGGAGCUAGCAAUAUGAGAGGUGAGUUGAAUGGCCUUAAAACAAAGAUUUUGAGAGAACAACCUUGUGCCUACUAUGUUCAUUGCUUUGCUCAUCAACUUCAACUAGCACUUGUUGCCGUAGCAAAGAAGAAUAUUGAUAUUGCCUCUUUCUUCACAACCACUAAUAGUGUGGUUAACCAUGUUGGAGCAUCGUGUAAGCGGCGUGAUGCACUUAGAGCACAACUCCAAGAAGAACUUGUGAUAGCUUUUGAAAAUGAUUGUCUUAUAACGGGGCGAGGUUUGCAUCAAGAAACAAGUCUCAUACGUGCUGGUGACACACGAUGGAGCUCACAUUACGGUACCAUUAUUAGCAUCAUUUCUAUGUUUUCAUCUGUGAUUCAUGUGCUUCAAAUGAUUAUUGAUGAUAAUCCCAAUGAUAGUGCCGGUGAAGCAAAUAAGAUUCAAAGGGAAAUGCUUACUUUUCAGUUUGUGUUUCACCUAUUCUUAAUGAAGGCUAUAUUAGGACUCACAAAUGAUGUGUCACAAGCAUUGCAAAAGAAAGAUCAAGAAAUUGUGAAUGCAAUGGCUUUGGUGAAAUCAUGCAAGGAAAAACUACAUUGGAUGAGGAAUAAUGGGUUUGAUGCAUUGGUUGAAGAGGUGUCUUCAUUUUGUGACAAACAUCAUAUUGAUGUUCCUACCAUGGAUGAGCCCUUCGUACUUCCAGGGAGGUCAAGGUGUAAUGCUCCAAUAAAGACAAAUCGUCAUCAUUAUCGUGUGGAGCUCUUUAUUUAUGUCAUUGACGAGCAACUUACGGAGUUAGAUGAUCGUUUUAAUGAGGUAAAUACUGAGUUGCUUAUUUGUUUGGCAUGUUUGAGUCCAAAUGAUUCAUUUGUAGCUUUUGAUAAACAAAAGUUACUUCGUCUUGCUCAAUUUUAUCCUCAAGACUUUUCUUAUGGGGAUCUUUUGGCACUUGAUGAUCAACUUGAGCUUUAUAUUCAUUAUGUGAGUUCGAGUAGUGAUUUCUCUGACUUGCACGGGAUUGGUGAUCUUGCAAAAAAAAUGGUGGAGACAAGGAUGCAUCGAGCAUUCAAUUAUGUGUAUUUGCUUAUUACAUUGGCUCUAGUUUUACCGGUUGCUACUGCUUCAAUCGAGAGGGCAUUCUCCGUCAUGAAUAUUAUCAAAGGUCCACUUCGGAACAAAAUGGGAGAUCAAUGGUUGAGUGAUAGCUUGCUUGUUUAUGUUGAGAAGGAUGUUUUUGAUUGUAUUGAAAAUGAAGCUAUAAUGCUACGUUUUCAAAAUAUGAACCUCGUCGUGGCCAAUUGUAAUUUGUAAUGUUGUUUUUUUACAUGAAUUAUGAAUGAAUGUACUCUAGUUUUAUUUUCAAUGUUAUUUUAAUCUUUCAAAAAAAAAAAUUAAACUUUUACACUAUGACCCCACGACACAAAAUUCCUGGGUCCGUCCCUGCUGGUCAGAAUCAAGGAGUGACAGAGGCAAAGUUGGGUGGUUGGUGGAAACGAGCCCAUUUUGUCACUGCGCUUGGCAGUCGGGUUGGCCAUGCAAGGUGGCGGCGACCAUGCAAAGUGGUCGGUGCUCAUCCACGGUGGUCGGGUCUGUCAUGCAAGGUGACGGGCGACGAUGCAAAGUGGUCGGCUUCCAGCCACGGUGGUCGGCUUCCAUCCACGGUGGUCGGGUCGGGUCAUAAUUUAGUUUAUGUACCGACACAUAAUAACAAUAUCAUAAGAUAUUUUGCUAUGACAACCCAUCACAGGUAUUAAGUUGAGAUAUUAUACCUAGAUAUUUAUGUUUAGAUAUUUAUAGAAAUAAAUAUUAUGCAAACAGAUAUUUAUGCAAACAGUACAUAACAGAUAUUUUGUUGGGAUGAAGAUAUCUUGUAACAGGUGAUCUCAUUCGAGAGGAGAAUAGAGUGUGAGGAGGUGGCGGCUCUGUUUUCUGCAGAAACAGAGCAUUGCAGAGAGCUGCCUCCUUUUGUUUGUUUCAUGUUUGUUUCCAAGGAUGGGAGAUUGGAGCGAGGCUUUGAUGGUGGAGUGGAUGUUGAAGCAGAUGAGAGCUAUGUGACCAUUUUUCCAUGACGAGGACAAGGAGCUUGGUGGUGUUGGGGGGUGUCGACAAAGACCCCAACAACUACCUUAACUUGGAUGCUAUGAUUGUGAGUGACUGGCGUGGUAGCAGCGGUGGUCGACGUCGACAAUCGAGCCGGUUGCUGCUCCAGUGUUUCUUCUCUUCAUUGUUUUGCUUUGGUUUUCCCCCCACCGUGCCAAAGGGAGAGGUAAGAGAGGAUACGUACCUCUUGUCUCAGAAGGGAGAAUGAUUUCUGAGUUUGAUUUUUGAGAAACCAAUGAGUAUUGAGUGGCUUGAUCAAUUCCUGGUAAAGGGUGUUUGCGUGACUUGUGGAUAUUGACUUACUUUCCUUAUACACCAAGAAUUCCCAUUAUAACUGUAAUUGAUUUAUUUUAAUUCCUGAUUUCUUAUUGUAAAUGGAUUUAGGAAUUUAUUAUUUACUUGCCUAUUCAGAUUUCGUUGUAUUAUAAAUAUGACCUCCUACAAGGAGAAGAAUACACAGAAAAUUCCCACAAACAAAUAUUCUCUCAUAGUUUUUAUAUUUUAGCAUUGUAUCAGAGUGGCGAUCUUGAAAUUGCUGACUCUAGUUUCAACCCCCGCCGCUGCUAUGAGGGUUGAUGAUUUUUUCAACCCUCAUGGAGGUAGCACCACCGACUCCUUCUCUCAUUCUCAACCAACCAUCGUUGAGUUGAGUGCCCAGAUGGCUCAGCUCAUACAGAUGCAGACUUUGACCCCGAACCCGAUCCAGAAUCAGGAUCCUCUUUUGACGACCCCGACCCCGAUUAUGAUAACGACGACCCCGACCCCCACUUCGAUGAUGACCCCGACCCCGAAUUUGUCUCUGAUUCAGACCCCGAUACUGAUUUCGACUCCGACUCCGGCCCCGACUUAGGCUCAGAUUCUGAUCCAAAUUCCUACUCAACCUGUAUCCUAUGUCUUCCGCUGCACAGAUUCUGACUUCUCGACUAACGACCCCGACACAUGGACCAGAUUGCGCAUACUGUGGUGAUCCGAGACACACUUGUGAGACUUGUUUUAAAUUGCAUGGCUACCCCGGUUGGUGGGCUACUCUUACAGAUCGAGGACAAUGCAAUAUGACCAGUAAUGGUACUGGUUAUGGAUUCCAUACUUCCGAUAAGAUUGAUUCCAGGAGUUGGAUAAUUAAUUCCGGUGCAACUGAUCAUAUGACGUUUGAUCCUGACGAUUUUCUGAAUACUACACAACCUCGACGAACCUGUAUUGCAAAUGCCAAUGGUGUUACUUAUCCUGUGACAGGGGCUGGCACUGUUGCACUUUCAUCCUCUCUCACACUGUCUAAUACUUUACUUGUUCCAUCUUUAUCCACUAAAUUGUUGUCAGUUAGUCAGCUUCCUGAACAAUUGAAUUGUUGUGUACUCAUUUACCCGAGUUUUUGUUUGCUUCAGGAUAUAAACACUAAGGAGAUUCUUGGUCGUGGUACUAAGAGAGGGGGCCUAUAUUAUGUCGAUGACUUCAGUCCCGGCGUGGCUAACAGUGUGACACAUUCCUUUGAUAGCAAACAAAAGCAAAUCUGGUUGUGGCACCGUCGAUUGGGACAUCCGUCUUUUAGUUAUAUGAAGCAUCUUAUACCAGAUUUCUUCUCAGGAUUCAAGGACUCCGACUUCACAUGUGAUACUUGUAUUUUGGCCAAGAGUCACCGUGUGCCCUACCCGUUGAGUACGAACAAGUGUACUGCUCCAUUUACCUUAAUUCACUCUGAUGUCUGGGGACCUUCGCCUAUCACUGCUCCUUCUGGUGUUCGAUGGUUUGUCACAUUCAUCGAUGAUUGUACACGGAUGACAUAACUUUAUUUGUUGAAGAAUAAAAACGAAGUGUUUUCCCGUUUUCAGUCCUUCCAUAAACAGAUGAAAACACAGUUUAAUGCUCAAAUCCAGAUUCUUCGCUUAGACAACGGUGGAGAAUUUAUCAAUCAUGACUUUCAAACUUACUUCCAACAACAUGGAAUUAUCCAUGAGACGACUUGUCCUCAGACACCGCAGCAAAAUGGUGUUGCUGAACGAAAGAAUCGACAUCUUCUUGAAACCGCCCGAGCACUUCUGAUUGGCGCUUAUGUUCCUCGCCAUCACUGGGAUGAUGUUAUUGUCACCGCAGUUCACCUGAUCAACCGCAUGCCUUCUGGUGUAUUGACCUUUAAAACUCCCUUACAGGUGCUUGCAGAACACAGACCUCUGCCCUCUGUUUUGGUACUCACACCCCGAAUCUUUAGAUGUGUGGCUUUCGUUCAUCUCCACAAAAAUCAACGUAGCAAAUUUGAUCUCUGUGCGCUUCGUUGUGUUUUUGUGGGUUAUGCCACUCAUCAGAAAGCUUACCGCUGUUAUCACCCUCCUACCCAACGAACCUAUGUCACUUUGGAUGUGACCUUUCUGGAAUCUGAGCUGUUCUUCCAUGACCCAUCAUCCAAUUCUACGCUUCAGGGGGAGAUACAAAGUGAAGAGCGGAAUUGGAGCAACUUGGAAAACAAAGAAAUUCUUCUCUGUACAGAAAUGAUUGACCAUCCCGAGUCUGGAGCACGAGAUUACUCUUUGUCAAAAAGCGACCAAUCGCCCAUUCAUAGCCAUCAAUUGCCUGACCCACCUGAUCCAUGCAAAGAUAUUUCUGAUCCGAGUUUCACAUCUACAGGCAAUACAGAACAACAAGAUGAAGACCCCCUCUCUAACUCAACAGUACCAACAGACCAAUCUCCUGAGAAUAUCCUUGAGGUACCUACUCCUACUAGACUUGUACAUUUAGAUGAUAAAACUAUUGGAUAUCAAUUACCUUCCAGGCAAAAUCGUGGGAAGCCACCAAACCGUUAUUCACCUGAUAUUGGCAAGACAUCCAAGUAUCCAAUUGCAAAUCAUGUAUCCACUGAGAAGCUGUCUGAACCACUCAAGGCUUUUGUGCAUCAGUUGUCUGCUAUCCAUAUUCCAACCAAGGUCUCUGAAGCAUUGAAAGAUCCUAAGUGGGUCCAAGCUAUAAAAGAGGAGAUGAAAGCUCUUGAGAAAAAUCAAACUUGGACAUUGGAGACUAUACCACGAGGAAAAAAAACUAUCGGAUGUAGAUGGGUGUUUACUAUAAAACACAAUGCAGAUGGAUCUAUCAAGCGAUACAAGGCAAGACUUGUGGCAAAAGGGUACACACAGACCUAUGGUAUAGACUAUGAAGAAAUCUUUGCUCCAGUUGCAAAGUUAAACACCGUCAAAAUCUUAUUGUCUCUUGUAGCUAAUUUGGAUUGGCCACUACAUGGACAUUCCUCCUGGAUAUAAUACUUCUCAGACUGGAACAGUUUGCAGGUUACGAAAAGCAUUGUAUGGAUUGAAACAGUCACCACAUGCAUGGUUUGGACGGUUCACCAUGGCAAUGAAGAAUAAUGGUUUCAAACAGUGCAACUCAGAUCAUACUCUGUUCUUCAAACAUCGAAAAGGGAAGAUAACAGCAUUAAUAAUCUAUGUUGAUGAUAUGAUUAUUACUGGGAAUGAUAAACAGGAAAUAUCACAGCUACAAGACUAUCUGGCUACGAAGUUUGAGAUAAAGGAUCUAGGUGGACUCAAGUAUUUCUUGGGAAUUGAGGUGGCUCGAUCACAGCAAGGCGUAUUUCUCUCUCAAAGGAAAUAUGUCUUGGACUUGUUGACAGACACAGGAAUGCUAGAUUGCAAACCUGCGGACACUCCUAUUGUUCAGAAUCAUCAUCUUGGAGAAUAUCCGGAUCAAGUUCCAACUAACAAAGAAAGAUACCAAAGGUUAGUGGGAAAAUUGAUCUAUUUGUCACAUACUCGACCAGACAUUGCUUAUGGGUGAACGUUGUCAGUCAAUUUAUGCACUCUCCAAGUGAAGAUCACAUGAAUGCAGUUCUUCGGAUACUUAGAUAUUUGAAGUCUGCACCUGAAAAAGGACUUAUGUUCUCAAAGCAUGGUCAUCUAAAUAUUGAUGGUUAUUCAGAUGCAGAUUGGGCAGGUAAUGUAACAGAUAGAAAAUUCACAUCGGGUUACUUCACAUUCGUGGGAGGUAAUUUGGUGACAUGGAGGAGCAAGAAACAGAAUGUAGUAGCUUUAUCCAGUGCAGAAGCCGAGUUCAAAGGCAUGACUAAAGGCAUUUGUGAACUUCUUUGGUUAAGAAAGUUGCUUAUUGAACUUGGGUAUAAACCUACAUCCACAAUGAAUCUCUUUUGUGACAACAAGGCUGCUAUAGCCAUUGCACAAAAUCCGGUUCAGCAUGAUCGUACUAAACAUGUUGAGGUGGAUCGACACUUCAUCAAACAGAAGCUUGAGGCUAAAGUGUUUCAGUUCCCUUUUGUGAAAUCCGAGGAUUAAUUGGCAGAUAUUUUGACAAAGGCAAUUUCCAAUAAAGCAUUCCAUAAUUCACUGGAUCAGUUAGGCAUUGGCGACAUCUAUGCACCAACGUGAGGGGGAGUAUUGGCAUGACUUGUGGAUAUUGACUUACUUUCCUUACACACCAAGAAUUCCUAUUAUAACUGUAAUUGAUUUAUUUUAAUUCCUGAUUUCCUACUGUAAAUGGAUUUAGGAAUUUAUUAUUUACUUGCCCAUUCAGGUUUCAUUGUAUUAUAAAUAUGACCUCUUACAAGGAGAAGAAUACACAAAAAAUUCCCACAAACAAAUAUUCUCUCAUAGUUUUCAUAUUUUAGCAAAGGGUUCCUCCGGUUUUCUCAUGUUUUGGAUAUUGAUGCUGUGAAGCAGUUGAGUGUGGUGCCUGAAUGAUUUGAAACAUAGAGGAUUGAUGGAGAUACCAUGGCCAGAGAUCGUUGCUGGCUCAGUGGCGACAAGAAUGACAUGAACUUCUAUGCGGUUCCCACAGAUGGGGCUAAAUGUUGAACCUGUAACUUUGGGACAGCCGUAAUGUCGCAAUCAUACAGGUAGAACGAAGAGAUUGAGUGGUUCACCAUAAAAUCAGGUUACAUCCACUGAUUGUUGUAUUGGUAUAUAUGUGUAGAGAUUACAUUGGGAUAGUCUAGAGCCUUUCCAAAUGGGAGAGGAGAGAGAUCUGGAGGAAAGGAGAGAGAGUUUCCAGGAGCCCUCUCUUCUCAUGGCUCCCUCUCUAUUUUGUGGUCCCCCUUCAGCAAGAGGAGAGAGUCCCUUUUGUAGAACAACCACCCGCGACUUCUAUCCUUAGGCCUGCCGACGUGGCAGUCCAUUAGAGGCCCACCCAAGUGAGGUUAGGGCAUCAACAAUUAGAAUUUGAGUUGGAAAGAGAGAGCGAAAUGUUUUCGAGGGAGGGUGAAAUCUGAAAAUUUUAAGUCGCGGUCAAAUAUUUGAAAGGCACUCAUGUUUAAACAACGACGAAAACAAUCCAAAAUGUCGUUUAAGGAUACAACUUAGAUGAUGAUUAUUACAUGUACGCUUUUACUACAACGGUCCACGUUGUAGUAAAUACUUUUCACAGCGCAAAAACCAUAACCGACAUCUUAUAAAAUAAAAUAAUUAGGUGGGCUUUAGUUUUCGCGGGAUUUGAAAGCAUGUGACCAAUAGCGUAAUUGACCAAAAAGAAAAAAGGAAACCGGCAUCAUUUCAAUAUACCCUAAACCCUAAACCCUAAUUUCUUUAUUUUUAAUUUACAAAAAUUUGAAAAAAAAAAUACACAAGAAUGAGAAAAAUUAACCAAAAUUUGAUAAAGACUCCUUACAACAAUGCCUUCUAUAUUAGCAUGGUAAAAUUAGAAUUUCAUAUAUCUGAAUUUAUCGCCACCAAUGGAUCACACAAACCUUAAGGUUAUAUUAUGAAAGUAUAAGUACUAUUGUGCUUUGUCUAUAAACAAUUUUGAGUUUUGGUUGUCAUUUAUAAUUUUUAUAACUAAAAUGACAUUUUUCAAAGCUUUAAGGGGAAGACAAUCUCUCAAUGAGUGCAUAGUAGUUGUCAGUUCAUUUUUUGGAUUUUUUAAAAUUUAUUAGGAAUAUUAGGAAGUAAAUACAAUAAAAAAUCAUAUUAAUGGGAAAUGAAAUGUGGCAGGUGCUCAUAGGCUUACUCCCGCAUUUCUGACUCAUGUAGCAAUAAGAGAUUCAGAGAGCGAGAUAGCUUAUAUACAACAUCAAAUGCAUAGACAUACAAAGUCCAGAGAAAACCAGCAUUCUUUAUCAUAAAUACAGAUAAAAGCAAUUGCACAUAGAGAGAGAGAGAGAGAGAGAGAGAGAGAGAGAGUGUGUGUGUGUGUGUGAGUGAAGAUAGCUUGUAAAACAAUUAAAAUAAAAACAACUCUAACUCAACCAUCUAAAUCGUCAUGGUAUUUCACCCCAAACGAUGAUUUCUUGACAAAACCGACGUACUAUGGAGUUUCAAACGACGGUAAAUAAAUACCAUCGUUGUGUGAGAUUUCAAACGACGUUGAGGAAAAACAACGAUGUCUAAUUCAAAUUCAUAAUGCUUUGUAAUACAAAUUUAAAACAGAAUGAGUGAAUUUAGGCUUACAAUUAAUCUUGCUUUCUUUUCAUCCUUUGGAUGAAGGAUGUUACCAUGUUUGUUUUCUCUAGCUUUCCUCCAUAAUAGAGAUCGAUCUAUUUCUUCACCAGACAUGUUUUCCUCCAAUUGGUCCUCCAAACCAAUAUACCCUUUACGAGAAAACCGAUGAUUGUACUCGCAUUUCUCCUUCCUCUGUGAUUAUUCAGUAUGCACAACCACAAAUUCUUCGGAUAACUUUGAAAAGGCAUCCCAAUAUGAUUUCUCUAUGAAUGGAUAUAGUUUAAGUCAAACAAUAUUUUUGGGUUGUAUUUCAUUCUCCAAAAUGAGGUAUUUAUAAUACAAGCUUACAAACCCUAGUAGGGUUAUACUAGGAAAUAAGAUAAAGUCCUAAUUACAUAAUAUCUAUACAAAAAGGAAAUAAAUAGAAUCCUAACAUACUAGGAAGUAAAUCUCCUAAUUACACUAGGAUCUUGCUAACACUCCCCCUCAGGUUGGAGCAAAGAUGUCACGCAUGCCCAACUUGUCAAGCAAGUUGAGGAAGAUACUGGUAGAAACAGCUUUCGUAAGAACAUCGGCUAACUGAUACUCAGAACUGAUGAACGGGAAGUAAACAAUCUUCGCAUCCAACUUCUCUUUAAUGAAAUUUCGAUCAACCUCCACAUGUUUCAUACGAUCAUGUUACACCGAGUUAUGGGCAAUUGCAAUUGCAGCCUUAUUGUCACAAUAUAAAUCCAUGGGUUUAUGUGGCCCAAAACCAAGAUCUCUCAAUAAUCUCCUCAACCAUAGUAACUCACAUAUGCCUUGAGCUAUCCCACGAUACUUGGCCUCAGCACUAGACCGAGACACCACUUUUUGUUUCUUACUUCUCCAAGUAAUAAGGUUACCACCGACAAACAUGAAAUACCCAGACAUAGAACGCCUAUCAGUGACUGAACCAGCCCAGUCAGCAUUUGUAUACCCUUCCACAUCUGUAUGUAUUUAGAAAUCAGCAACCCCUUGCCAGGAGUUACUUUCAGAUACCUUAAAAUAAGUGUCACUGCCCCCAUAUGAUCUUCACUAGGAGAAUGCAUAAACUGACUCACUAUACUCACAGCAUAUACAAUGUCAGGACGGGUAUGAGCUAAAUAAAUCAACUUUCACACAAGCCGUUGAUAACGCACUUUAUCAGUAUGAACUUGAUCAGGAUAUAACCUCAACUUAUGAUUCUACUCACUAAGGGUAUUAAUUGGUUUACAAUCUAACAUUCCAGUUUCUGCAAGUAAAUCCAAAACAUACUUUCUUUGGGACAGAAAGAUACCAUGUUUACACCUGGCAACUUCAAUCCCAAGAAAGUACUUUAAAUCACCCAAUGAUUUCAUCUUAAACUUUGAAGCCAGAUACUUAUAAAGACUUUGCAUUUCUGCCUGAUCAUCUCCAGUCACAAUCAUAUCAUCAACAUAAAUAAUUAAAGCCGUCAAUUUACCUUUGUGAUGCCUUAGAAACAAAGUAUGAUCUGAGUUACUUUGCACACACCUAAAUUUCUUCAUAGAUGUAGCAAAUCUUCCAAACUACGCUCUUUAAGACUACUUCAAUCCAUACAAGGACUUCCACAACUUACAUACAACACCCUCCUUAGAGGUCAUAGGAAUACCAGGAGGGAGAUCCAUGUAAAUCCCUUCCUGGAGGUCACCAUGUAGAAAUGCAUUUUUGACAUCAAACUACAAUAAGGGUCAAUCAUGGUUAGCAGUAAGGGAUAAAAGCACACGCACAGUAUUGAGCUUUGCCACUGGAGCAAAGGUCUCCAAAUAAUCCACUCCAUAGGUCUGAGUACACCAUUUUGCUACCAAUCUAGCCUUGUAACGAUCAAUGGAACCAUCAACCUUAUGCUUCAAAGUAAACACUCAUCUGCACCCAACUGCUUUCUUCUCUCGUGGCAAAGGAACUAAAUCUCAUGUCUUAUUCUUGUUCAAGGCAUCCAUUCAUUUGGGGUUAGAUAGAGCAUCCUGCAGCUUAGUUGGCACACAUACACUAGAUAAUUGACACAAAUAUGAUGCAUAUGACUUAGAUAAACGAUGAGUUGUCACAUAAUGGCUAAUAGGAUAUUUAGAUUUGGCAUGUAUAUCAGGAGAAUAUUGUAAUUUGGGUUUCCCACAAGUAGUUCGUGAGGGUAAUUUAUAAGUAGACACAGACAGAUCAUCAGAAAUUACCUCACUUGACUCAGUAUCAUGAUUUGACUGGGGCAAUGGCAGGGUAGAUGGGGUCUUGUAUCAAACUCAUCUUUACAAGAAACAUAAGGAACAUCAUCAGUUAACCCAGGUGACCGGUCGUCAUCAUCUUGGCGAACGAUCGCUUCGUAGCCGAAAGCAUCAACUUCAGGAUCAUACCCAGGAGACUGGUCGUGACCAUCCUGGUGACCAGUCAUGUCGAAGACUAUAGCAUCAUCUUCUGCUCUAGACCUGUGCGUCCUGUCACUAUCUGAUGGGCAACCAAUUAUUUUCUCUCCUAUAUCACAAUUUGUACUAUCCUCGCCAACAUCCUUACGUCCAAGAUGCUGCAAUCCGAGACUCUCCAAUUUACUUCCCUUCUCCCCUUGAAUUGGAGAGGAGGGAGAAACAUAAUACGGUACCUCUUCAUGGAAAGUUACAUACUAAGUAACAUGCACUUUCUGAGUAGGAAGAUGAUAGCAUUUAUAACCUUUUUGAGUAGUAGAAUAACCAAUGAAGACACAGCAAAGAGCACAUGGAUCCAGUUUACUCCAUUGAUGGGAGUAGACACGGACGUAGGCAACACACCCAAACACCUUUGGAGGCAACUUAGAGACAGAGACCAGAGAAGUAUGGGCACACAACACAUCAAGUAGAGUCUUGAAAUCAAGAACUUGACUAGGAGUACGGUUAAUCAAAUAGGCCGCGGCUAAAACACUAUGGCCCCAAAGAUAAUGGGGAACAAAAAUGUCUAUCAUAAGGGAGUAGACAACUUCAAGUAACUGACGAUUCUUGCAUUCAGACACAUCAUUCUACUGAGGAGUGAAUGGAGUGGUAGUUUGGUGAAUAAUGCCUUGAUUACGGAAGAAAUGGGUUAAGGUAUUAUCCAUAUAUUCACCUCCGUUAUCAGUCCGAAACACUUUGAUUCAAACAUGAAACUGAGUAGACAUCAUGGCACAAAAUUUCGGAAGAAUAUAAGCAACAUCAUGUUCACUCUUCAGCUAAUACACCCAGGUUAAGCGAGUGCAGUCAUCAAUAAAGGUAACAAACCAACGGAAACCAUUAGAAGUCACACGAGCAAGGCCCAUACAUCCGAAUGCACUAACUCAAAAGGCAAUGCAUCUUUAUUCUUACUUAAGGGAAGAAUAGUACGGUGGCUCUUAACCAUUACACAAGUCUCACAUUUGAAGCUAGACUCAACACAUGAACGAAAUAACAAAGGAAACAAUUGUUUAAGAUAACCAAACGACGGAUGUCCCAAGUGACGAUGCCACAAUCAAAGUUGUUGUUUUUCUUUGACACUGCCACUCUGAACUUUAUUAUCAACACAAUCACGAACUGCUGCAGCCGGUAACGUUAAGUAAUAUAACCCCCUUAUCCGUUUAUCAUGCCCAAUCAUCUUGUAAGUCCUGAGAUCCUAAAAAGAUCAAUGGGUAGAAUAGAAAGUAGUAGACGCGUUAAGUGUAUCAAGCAAACGACCAACAGAUAAUAAAUUGCAACGAAUAUUAUGAACCAAAAGUGCACAGGACAAGGGUAAAAAAGGGGUGAGGUGGAUGGUACCUUCGUCGGUACAGGGGAAGGUAAACCAUUAGCACUAGGAAUAUAGGAGUCACGAGGGGUAUGAGACAACUCAUCAAACAGAUUAAUAUCACAAGUCAUAUGAUCAGAAGCACUAGUGCCAAUUAUCCAAGUAUUAGAGCCCACACCUGACAUAGUCUCAGAAGAACACAAAUUUGCAGACAGGGCUUGGGGAUUGGCCUUGUCUUGGGUCAUAGUGCAAGCGGCAUUGAGACCGUACAUACAAGCUUUAUAGUCAGCAAACUAAUCAGGGUAACCAUGCUCAUGGCAUAAGCUUUUAGAGGAGGCGGGACAGGAUUGAGGGAAAGAAUUCGGCUACGGACACCAUCAUAUGGUGGAUCAAUUCUUCCAAGAAAAUCAUAAACUCGAUCGUCUUCAAUUUCCUUUUUACAACAAGCCACAUCAGCAGAACAACUAACUUCAUUUGGACGCAGACAAUCAAUCUCCUGCCAUAUAGCAUGGAGUUUUUCAUAAAACACUUUCACAGAUUCACCAUUCUCACAUGUAAGUAUGGACUGCAGUCGGAGUGGAAACAACCGAAAACUAUUCUGAGUCACAGUAUAGGUUUUUCGAGCGGCCUCCCAUAUAUCAAAAGCAGUAGCACCAUGUUCAAACAAGGCACGAACUAGUUUAGUUAUGGAAUUGAGAAGCCAUGACUGCAUCAAGCAAUUAUCUUCUUCCUAUUCGGCAUAGGCAGCGGAGCCUGGAGACGGAGCAGGCUUCUUCCCAUUGAUCCAAUUUGCCAUACGACGACCAGUAAUCGUAAUGCGUGCACCACGAGACCAAGAGACAUAAUUGGAGUCAUCCAAUUUGUCAGAAGUAAUAGGGGUAGAGUAAUUACGCAAGAGAAGUUCCUCAUUCAUUUCAGACGUACUAGAACGCACCACAACUUUGGAAGCAUCACCCAUGAUAGCAGCGGAAACACAACACGAAGCAGAUACGACAAACACAGCACAGACACGGGCACAGCAGAAACACAACACAAAGCAGAUACCACAAACAAAGCACAAGCAAGGGCACAAGAGAAAACCCUAAAAGAAAUUAGGGCACACAGUAGAAAAACGAGUAGGCACAACACACAGGUCACCAGAAAGUUGGCUUUGAUGCCAAGUCAAACAAUAUGGGUAGAAUAUUUUCGGGUUGUAUUUCAUCCUCCAAAAGGUGGUAUUUAUAAUAACAUGUUACAAACCCUAGUAGGGUUAUACUAGGAAAUAAGAUAAAGUCUUAAUUACAUAAUAUCUAUAUAAAAAGGAAAUAAAUAGAAUCCUAAUAUACUAGGAAGUAAAUCUCCUAAUUACACUAGGAUCUCGCUAACAGUUUAGGGGGUUCUUUUAACUUCUCCUCAUCAUUUUUGAACGGAAUAAUAUACUGCCUGAUUAAUGUAUACUUGAAAUCCUUCCAUUUCUUUCUUGCCCUCUUGCCCUACAACAUAUACCAUUUCAACAUCUUCCCAAAUCUGCUGCUUUGUAUCAUUGGGCAAUUCAGUACAUUUCUUGUCCACAAGAUGGACUCUGGUGCAUGCUAACACCCCAAUAUAGGAUUGUAUCUCAACAGUUGUUGAGGCAUGUGGUCUCCUUCUUUUAUUGUACUCGACAAGAAGUUUUAUUUUUUGGAUUUUUCUCUUCAUAACAUGGAUUAUUGUGUUUAUAACACGAUCGACUUGACUAUGCCUCCUCAUCAAAUGUAGUUGUGCUAUUUGGUUCUUUCUUAGCUGAUGAAGCAAAUCUUAUCGUCUUCAAGGACUCAGUUUGAGCCGAUUUCUCUUCCCUAAUUUGAGCUUUUGAAACUUAAAGCUAUUUACUUUCAUUUUAUUUUAUUUUUCAAACUAACCUUCUUACUUUGAGCGUUUGAAACUUGAAGCUCCUUACUUUGAUUUUUUAUUUUUAUUUUUUUCAAAAACUAGCCUCCUUACUUUGGGCUUUAGAAAUCAUGGUUACAGAGAAAUAUAACCUGCAAGUGAAAAUAUUUUAGAUUUUCAAAGAAUAAAAACAACGAUUAUUGGAAAACACUAACGUAGUAUAUUGGUUUCGAUUCUCCUUAUCCUUACUUUUAUCACGGUGAUAGUUAAUUACCGUCGUGGUGUGAUAAUUCAAACGACGUAAAUAAAAACCACCGUCGUCUUAUUAAGAGUAAAAUACAUAAAUAAAAAAUAAAAACAUUACCACCACUACCAAAAAGCUUCCUAUAACGAAGAUUACACAAAUAAAUGCAAAUGUAGAGAGAGUGAGAGACAUUGUCGUACUAAUAUUAUUCAAAAUAAAGAAAGAAGAUGGUAUUUGAAAACAGACUCGUGUUUCUAGACACUUUCGUUCUUGGUCUGUAUAUUUUAUCAAACUUAAAAAUAAGUAAAAUGAUUUUCACAAAAAAAAAAACAAAAACAAAAAAUGAUUUUCAUACCAAAAAAAAAAAAGGAAAAAAGAAAGUGAGAAAUGGUAACCUUUGGCGUGCAAUGAAAGUUUGCUUUUCAUGUUGGGAGAUUCUGAGACGAAGAUGAGAAUGAGAGGAGGAGAGGAAGAUGACAAGAUUCAGAGACACCGCUUUGGGAGGGAAAACUGAGAGGAGAGUGAAAUAUUUUCUUGAGUUGGGAAAAAGUAAAAUUUUAGGUCAGGUAAGGCAAAAGUUAAUAUAGAAAUGCAGCGUUUCAUAAGACGACACAUUUUAUAAAAAUUGCCCUAGUAUGGAGGUUCAUACAACGAGAUACAUGUAGAAACCACCAUGGUUGAUUAUAAUAUCACACGAC